rnacentral:rRNA from 1 species
CCUACGGGUGGCAGCAGUGAGGAAUAUUGGUCAAUGGACGAGAGUCUGAACCAGCCAAGUAGCGUGAAGGAUGACUGCCCUAUGGGUUGUAAACUUCUUUUAUAUGGGAAUAAAAUGUUCCACGUGUGGGAUUUUGUAUGUACUAUAUGAAUAAGGAUCGGCUAACUCCGUGCCAGCAGCCGCGGUAAUACGGAGGAUCCGAGCGUUAUCCGGAUUUAUUGGGUUUAAAGGGAGCGUAGGUGGAUUGUUAAGUCAGUUGUGAAAGUUUGCGGCUCAACCGUAAAAUUGCAGUUGAUACUGGCAGUCUUGAGUACAGUAGAGGUGGGCGGAAUUCGUGGUGUAGCGGUGAAAUGCUUAGAUAUCACGAAGAACUCCGAUUGCGAAGGCAGUUCACUGGACUGCAACUGACACUGAGGCUCGAAAGUGUGGGUAUCAAACAGGAUUAGAUACCCUGGUAGUC